GCUUGCAUAGAUCAAUGCUAGAUCAUCUCCUCGCAAUGAUUCGUUCAGUCUGAUACUGAGAAGGUGGAGGUUCAAAUCCUUCUGCAGGUG